rnacentral:rRNA from 1 species
UACGAAGGGGGCGAGCGUUGUUCGGAUUUACUGGGCGUAAAGGGCGCGCAGGCGGUCUUGAAAGUCAGGCGUGAAAGCCCCGGGCUUAACCUGGGAAUUGCGCUUGAUACUCUGAGACUGGAGUACGGGAGAGGAGAGUGGAAUUCCCAGUGUAGAGGUGAAAUGCGUAGAUAUCAGGAGGAACACCGGUGGUGUAGACGGCUCUCUGGACCGUAACUGACGCUGAGGCACGAAAGCGUGGGUAGCAAACAGG